AAAGUGUGUUAAACCAAACAUGUUAACAGAAUGCUAUUGACAUCAGCAUUUGAUAAGAUUGAAUUUGCACUCCUUAAAGUGGCUGAACGAUGAUUUCACAAGUUACCAGUUCCAAAAUGUUGCUCUUUCUGUGAAAAUAUUAAGGGUGAUGUCAUAAAGACAUGAUGUAGCAAUUAAUCAUGCACUGUUGUCAGUGGCUCAGAAAGGAUGCUUUGAUGCCUGAUGUCCUGCCUGCUGGGGGCAUUUUUGUAUUUUAUUGGGUGUUGCUAUGAUACACUGAUGUAUUCAACAGGCUUGAAGUCUCCCAAUACAAUAAACUUCUGAGCAUCAAAGCACACAGAUUUUAAGAAGACUCUACUUGUGUGACGACGCCUUUCUGCUUUCAAGUUCAUGCUGCAACAUGCCGACGAAUGGGAAUCGCCAUAGAACACACGUAUAACUUCGUCCACGUAGUACCAUAGUCGUGUACUGAAGCCGUUAUCAGAGGUUUGUGGGGGCGCUGGAACCAAUGUCAGCGCACUUGAGGCAAAAGGAUGACAGGUGAAAACAACAUGAGGGGUGAACAGAGGAUUCAACUGGUGACAGCAAACGUGAUGGGAGGACAGCAUAAAGACCGUGGAGGACCCUUUCAAGUCAAAGAUACUUGGAUGUUUCUUCAGAAGUAACUUCAUUCAUAAAUUUACAUGAAGGAAAGCCAUUAAGUAUGGGAUGUUGUCAUCCGUUCUCAUCCCUAGAGGGCCUUUCAUAUCAAGUCAAAGUUAGAAGGAGCGCACGAUACAUUUGAGGAUGGAUAUCAACACAUGUGGAAUCAUUUCAAUUCCAGGAGAUGGUGUGAAUGUCAGUGUGGAGAGCUGUUUGUUCCUCAUGUGCAAGAUUAUCAAUGGGAACCAGUUUUGGUGCAGUGUGCCUUUUCCCGCCCCGGGUCAACACCGAUCAGAGUAAUAGUAGAGGA